CACAGAGGAGCCCAUGACGGAGGAAGCAGGGAUGACGGUACUAACCCUUUAACCCUUUAAAGAAGAACCGCUUCAGUCUUCUACCAAAGCACGCUAAAUGGCUCUGUAAGCGUCUUACUAGGAAUCAGUUGAUACUUUCUAAAAAGUUUUUUUUUUUAAGUUUUUUUUUCUUUUAAAAAGUUUCCAAAAUCCUCUUCAUGAUGGAUGCUUUAAGGGUACAGCUGUCAAUUCUAUAAAUGGUUAAGUUACUACUCAUCGCCAAACAGAAUUCUGUUCUCAAUCUAUCUUACCAGAUCCACUGAGUCAGCUGCUUAAAAAUUUUCUUGAUAAUGUCAACUUACGACAAGCCUGUUUAAACACGGAGCUGAGUUCAUCACCACAAUAAAUGUAAGUUCACACUGACAAAUUUUUCCUUCUUCACCUGACCAGAGAAACCCGAGUCUGCUGACGGCAGAGGUUAACAGUGCUUCUGUUAAGGUCCUCCGGUCUAGAGUUGGUUUUCUCGAGUGGUCGGUGGACAGGAGUAUUCUCCCAAAGUAAAUGUUACAGCCUCAGGCACUAGGCCAGGAACGGCAGCCUUGACGUGUGAAGGAAGAGCAGCGAAGGAAGAAAAGCAGCCAGAACAAGAACGCAGACUCUAAAACCCCCCAGUCAUCGAGCACUGAGUCUGGGGUGAGACUCCAACUGAAAUGCUGUUUCUUCUAUCUGCUUCAGCAGGUAUUUGCCCAAUAAGGACGUGCCCACUUUCCUUCCCCCUAUGAGGAACCUGGGCCUAAAAGAAGUUCAGUGAUAUGACAGUGUAAGUGGCUGAUGCUAAAUUCACACUGGAAAGCAGGAUCGCCGCUAGCAAAUCCACCAACACCUUGAUCAGAACAUCUGCGAAGGCUUGGAAUGGAAUGCAAACUGUGUAUGCAUCAGCAUUUUCCAGGUAGAGAUGGUCAAAGGUUUUCAUCUGAUUUUUUCAAAGGAGCUUUGUGAUACAAAAAUUCUUAAGGGCCUCGCAAGGAAAACACCUGGAUUUUUGCAUCAGACAAACCUAAUUUCCAAAAGAGUUCUUCUAUUUUCUAGUAACGAUACUUCUCUUCUCUAGGUGUCAAAAUUACCUCCCAAAAUCACUGUAAACAAGAUAAUGCAUGCAAAGCACCUAACACUGUUUUUUUUUUUUUUUUCUAACACUGUUUUUAAAACCCCCUUACGAGAACUCCAUGUGGCAGAGACUACGGGUUGUGCUCAAGCAGCCGCUGAGAGACUGGAUAUACAGACAGACAACGGACAGAGCACAUACAAAAACAGACCUUUGAACCACAAUCCGCAGCAACCUGGUCAGGAAGCCAACCUUUCCACUCUAGCAAGCAGCCCGAGAAGCCAGCCUGCUCCGUCCGACUCGCAGGAGGUCACACUGCUCUCUCUAGUGACAAUCCAGGAAGCUAAACAAUAACUUCUGUUAACAAUUAGCCCCAGACGGCCAGGAUGCAGUAACUGACAGCUUCCUCCAUUUCUGUCCCUGCUUCCAACUUAGGACUGACCAGAGGAAGCCAACUAGACACAUGCAAGCCAGUCACCUGAUACCUGGCUGCAGCAGGCUCAGUGGCGGCCCCAGCAUGCCACGGCCACCCAUCAGGGCACACCCGAGCCCCCCUCCUUAUCCACCGUGAAGACCCCCUCCUCUUGACCGGGAACCUUGCCCACACGCUGGUGAUGGAGUGGGUCCUUUGCUGGAGCAGGCUCAGAGCUCACAGCCCUGACUCUUCUCAUUCUGUUGGUCUUGGCUGAUUUCUGCACCAUUCGGCUCGGCUUGCAGAGUAAGAGAAGGUUAGCUCGCAAAUGAAGAGCACGCAGGCCAGCCUCCCUGCACCUACACGUGUUCCUAAGACGACAUUCUGGCCAACGGCGUGAAGCGGAAAACACUGUGUGGCAGCAAGCACCUGGUGACGUGUCCGCAAACACAGCCGUCAGGGGCCUGUCUCCCCUCACAUCUCAGCCCGAAACCUGAGGUCACAACUGCCAUGUCAGUGCCGGCAUCGUACACAACAGAGAAAGACACACAACAACACAGAAUACAGCAACGGCCUCCUUUGACACAGUGUUCCUAUGGGGGGCACUCUUCUGAGUUCUGCGUCUGUUUCAGGGGAAUGCAGUGCACGGAAGUGAAGUUGGGCCAAGGCCAGCGAUGACCAGUUCUUAGGCUACUGUCAUCAGGCAGUUUCUGUAACUUGUAGCUGAACUUAAAUCCCGUGGUUCAAACGGUAAAGAAUCUGCCUGCAAGGCAGGAAACCCAGGUUCAAUCCCUGGGUUGGGAAG